rnacentral:rRNA from 1 species
CCUACGGGUGGCAGCAGUGAGGAAUAUUGGUCAAUGGGCGAGAGCCUGAACCAGCCAAGUCGCGUGAAGGAUGACGGCCCUACGGGUUGUAAACUUCAUUUGCCAGGGAGCAAAUGAGUCCACGUGUGUGCUUAGCGAGAGUAACUGACGAAAAAGCAUCGGCUAACUACGUGCCAGCAGCCGCGGUAAUACGGAGGAUGCGAGCGUUAUCCGGAUUUAUUGGGUUUAAAGGGUGCGUAGGAGGAAUAUCAAGUCAGCGGUAAAAAUUCGGGGCUCAACCCCGUCGUGCCGUUGAAACUGAUUGUCUUGAGUGGGCGAGAGGUAUGCGGAAUGCGUGGUGUAGCGGUGAAAUGCAUAGAUAUCACGCAGAACUCCGAUUGCGAAGGCAGCAUACCGGCGCCCAACUGACGCUGAAGCACGAAAGCGUGGGUAUCGAACAGGAUUAGAUACCCCUGUAGUC